rnacentral:lncRNA from 1 species
CGUCCUUUGGGAAAGGAGGACCAUUUUCAUUACCCACGAGGUGCUUUCCCAUUUACGACGGUCGAAGGCAAGAUUAAUUAAUUACUAUCAUAGUGUCCGAAACACCUGAUUUAUCGAUCAAACGGUUCUGAUUUAACAUGCCUAAGCCCUGACCUGUAAGGCUUAUGGUGUGUCAUAAAACAGUAAAAUUCAUGCCCAUGGCUUUCUAAGUUCUUCCAAAUGUUUCGCAUAUGAUUCCAAAAGAGAAGGACAUAGAUGACCUUUUAAUACUUAAUACUUUCCUAGCCAUUUUUAAACAUCAUCUGAACUCAGAGAGUCGGUGUUCCAAUCUCACUUCCACAAUCUCUCCCCCC